UGAUGCCGUCCAGACGUUUUCUCGCUCUCUAGACAACUUACCUGGCCAGUGCGAUGUGCCAGGUUGCCUUUGUACAAUAUUUAACACGGGUCUGGCGAGCUGGAAUUAAUGCAUUUCCAGGCGAUUUGUGGAAAUAAUGAUAGGCUCUAUACGAACAGUGACGUGACAAGAUGACACUUGAAGGCUGGUGUAACAUUUUGAUGAAAUAUAUUUUGGUUGUCUUCAACGCCAUCAUAUUGAUACUGGGAGCUAUGGCCAUAGGCCUGGGUGUCUGGGCCCUGACCUCUGAGUACGGGGCCCAGCAGAUGCAGGUCCUGACGGGCACGGAGCUUCACGAGAAGGCGUGUCUGAUGCUCAUCACUAGCGGCUCCGUCGUGAGUCUCAUCUCCCUGGCCGGGUGUCUGGGCAGCCUGCUGGAGAGUAGGGGC